GGGAAGGGUGGGGACUUCCACAAGACGGGGUUCAGAGACACUGUCACUUACAGGUUCCAGCCGGAGGACAGGUACUCCACGGGGCCCAGGCCCGCCACCUUCAGGAACAGCUCCACGCCGUAGACUGUGGACAGGAGCGGCAGUGGCGGUUGGCAGUGACCUCCCAUACCGGGCCUGGCUCGGCCUCCAAACCCCCCCCCCCCCCCCCCCCCCGGCUGCGCGCCCUCUGGACAGCCACGCCCCACGGGAGAGUGUGGGCUCCCUCCCUCCUUCCCUCCCCUUCUCUGGGCACAGCCCAGCCACCCUCUGUCCACCCAGCAGGUACUGCCUGCACCUCUUCUGUGCCAGGCGUUGUGCUGGGUGCUGGGCAUGCAAGUGACUGGCACAGUGCAGUGCCCACCCUACCGAGCUGAGUGCAGACGGGAGGAGCUGUGAGUGGGUGAUGACAGUGUGCUCAGGGUUAUAAGAGGAGGGGGGAGUGUCAGGUGGAGGAACACGGUGCCGAAGCAAGAAAGGGCAUGGGGCACUCAGGAGCAGGGCGCUGUUCAGGAGGGCUGAGGGACCCUGCCCGGCCAGGGGAUGUGAGCACGCCGGGAUGGAGAUUUGACGGAGGACAGAGGAGCCAUGGGGGAGUCUGAAACAGGUGGGAUGGCAUCAGACCCAGUUUCUGCUUCCUGAAGCCGCCCUGUUUCAGAGCCACGGUCCUAACCCAGUGACCGGCCUCCCACCAGAGUUUAAGACAAAGCCCUGCCGGAGACUUACUGGUGAGGAAGACGAGGGAGCUCCAGGGCACAUGCUUGGAGAAGAAGUUCCCACCUGCAGGACAGAGAGGCCGCAGCUCAGGAGGAGGCCGGGCAGGCCCAGGGGCGGGGCGGGCCCCCAGCCGGGCUCACCUCUCAGCAUGAAGGUCUCCGCGAGGACCCAGACCCCGUUGACCGCCACCACCAGGUCUGCAACCGACAGAGAAGCACAGGCCUGCAGGUCACGCCUGGUUCAUUUCCGGGCCGCUCCCCACCCCAUGGGACAGAGAUACCAGUUAAGAUGUUCCAGUAAAACCUAUUAUUCUAAGUCAGUAUCAACGAUGGACAAUCCACCGAGGGUUUGAUUAUUGAAAUAAUUUGCUUUUCCUUCAAGAUGUCUGAUUUUUAAAAUGACUGCACAGUUAGCAAAAUACAUGUGGACCUGGCCUUCCACUGAGCAUUCCCGCUGCUAGGAACCCAUCCUAAUGAGACACCAGCAAACACACAGCACCAGGUACCCAGAAAGCUAUUCACGCGAGAACUACUUGCAAUGGCAAAACAUCAGAACCCACCUAGCAAUCAGGAGGUACCGGUGGAAUGAACUAUGAUGCGGUCAUGACAAGGAGCCUACCGCCCCAGCCAGGUGGCUCAGUCGGUUGGAGCAUCAUCCCGUGCAUAGGAAGGUUGUGGGUUCGAACCCCAGUUGGCGUACAAGGGGCAACCAAUCAAUGUUUUUCACAUCGAUGUUUUUCUCUCCCCUUCCAUUCUCUCUAUCAAUAAGAAAACAUAUCAUUGGUGAAAAUUAAAAAAAAAAAAAAAAAUCCUAUCAACUAUAAAAAAAUAUGGGGGACAUCUCUAUAUAUUACUGUGGCGUGGUCUCCAGGAUUUAUUGCUAAC